GCCAGUGUGGUGUAGUGGUUUGAGAGUUGGACUGAAACUCUGGAAACCAGGGUUUGAAUCCCUGCUCAGCCA